rnacentral:rRNA from 1 species
GACGAACGCUGGCGGCGUGCUUAACACAUGCAAGUCGAACGCUGAAGCCUAGCUUGCUGGGUGGAUGAGUGGCGAACGGGUGAGUAACACGUGAGUAACCUGCCCUCUUCUUUGGGAUAACGCCCGGAAACGGGUGCUAAUACUGGAUAUUCACUGAUCUUCGCAUGGGGGUUGGUGGAAAGGUUUUUUCUGGUGGGGGAUGGGCUCGCGGCCUAUCAGCUUGUUGGUGGGGUGAUGGCCUACCAAGGCUUUGACGGGUAGCCGGCCUGAGAGGGUGACCGGUCACAUUGGGACUGAGAUACGGCCCAGACUCCUACGGGAGGCAGCAGUGGGGAAUAUUGGUCAAUGGGCGAGAGCCUGAACCAGCCAAGUAGCGUGCAGGACGACGGCCCUAUGGGUUGUAAACUGCUUUUGUAUGGGGAUAAAGUCAAUCACGUGUGAUUGUUUGCAGGUACCAUACGAAUAAGGACCGGCUAAUUCCGUGCCAGCAGCCGCGGUAAUACGGAAGGUCCGGGCGUUAUCCGGAUUUAUUGGGUUUAAAGGGAGCGUAGGCUGGAGAUUAAGUGUGUUGUGAAAUGUAGACGCUCAACGUCUGACUUGCAGCGCAUACUGGUUUCCUUGAGUACGCACAACGUUGGCGGAAUUCGUCGUGUAGCGGUGAAAUGCUUAGAUAUGACGAAGAACUCCGAUUGCGAAGGCAGCUGACGGGAGCGCAACUGACGCUGAAGCUCGAAGGUGCGGGUAUCGAACAGG